rnacentral:lncRNA from 1 species
UUCAAGCUUCUACGCAGGUGCUCUGGAUAAAUUUCCAAUGAACAAGGAUAUAAAUCCGCGCUUAUCUGAUUUCAAAGUGGCAAUGUUACAAAUGUCAUGACAUAACUUACUGGAGUAUAUUAGUAUUUGAAACAAAAAUCAAAUUAUAUAACUGAUGCACCAUAUAUUUGACGGCACGACAUUAUAAGUAAACACAAGUGCUUGUUCGGCGGACACACUCGCUUGUUAUUUAAAAUGAUUUCAACCAGACAAUCUUCACUGAUUUUGCUUCGUUCGACAGUAUUCUUAUAUUCUAACCGGCAGUGAGCCAGAUUCAGCUCUGGUAACCGUUUCUGGUCAUUAGAUCUUGAAAUAAAAAUAUCCUGCGUAGAUUUUCUUUUUCGACGGCGCGUUCUACCUAGAGUGAGCCCUUCUCCAUCUAUAAGUGCGGGAAUAGGUCUGAAAAAAGCCAUACACCAUCAGCACAAGAAAAAUGCUCAAAACAUAGUGAUGAACCAUGUAUUUUGAAAAAUGAUCUCGAGGGGUUUCGGGUAAUAAUUAGUCCUACCGUUAACAAUGAUUUUCUUCGGGGC